rnacentral:rRNA from 1 species
GACAGAGGGUGCAAACGUUGUUCGGAAUGACUGGGCGUAAAGCGCGUGUAGGCGGCUCGGCAAGUCGGAUGUGAAAGCCCUGGGCUCAACCCAGGAAGUGCACUCGAAACUGCCGAGCUGGAGUCCCGGAGAGGAAGGCGGAAUUCUCGGUGUAGAGGUGAAAUUCGUAGAUAUCGAGAGGAACACCGGUGGCGAAGGCGGCCUUCUGGACGGAGACUGACGCUGAGACGCGAAAGCGUGGGGAGCAAACAGG